GAAGAAAUCAUGACAAUUUAACCAAAUUGCAUCAUCUAUGUUUCUUUGAUAUCUUGUUUCAGUAGUUCAUUUUAUUCGUUAACUUGAUGUGGUGGGAGCUUAGUCUGUUUUGAAGUAUUGACAUUAAAGAAAUGUGGAAACUGAUAUGAAGAAGGGACUUAACGUUUUUGAAUUUUGCUUAAGUUGUUUUGUUCGAUUCUUUGUUAAAGAAGAAGAAGAAAAGUAAUGGGAAUGAACUGUGCACACAUGUUAAGAUAUAAUUUCAUUAUUUCAAGAACAAUUAACUGUUUCUCCUGGUGAAUACAGUAAUAUGUGCGAAUUUCCUUUUCUCCGAUAGAAUCUUAAAUAAACAUGUCAAGAAAUAUUGCUCGCGUAAUUUCAAUCUACUUUUAUAGUAAUAUCCAGUCAAAACUGUUUUAACAAAAAUAGAGCAUUUUAUUAUCUCCAAAAAGUGUUACAGCUGAUAUGAGGGGAAAACACAAAGCAUUGUAGACCCCUUAACUGGUUUGGGAAAUAGCUAAAUGAUAUCUUUAUUACAAUGCCUAUGGGAGAAGAGUGUCUAGUCCUAUACAGGCCUUCUGCAUCAUCUUGUUCGCUAGUGGAUUGUUUUUGCAAUGCGUAUUGUUAACUGGUGUCUGUUCCCUAGUGGAUUGUUUUCCUUUUUGUCCAAUUAACGUCUAGAGCAGAUUUAGCCUUAUAUAUUUGUCGUUGGAAAUUGUCCUUUCUUCUCUAAUAAUUUUACCCUUUUUUCACCAUAAUUAACCAUGGUUUUCAUCAGGCUGAACUCGAAAAGGCGCAGACUUGAAGAUCCAGCUGAACUUGCGAGCUCAAGCAGGAACCCUUGUAAUAAAAAGGAGGUACAAAGUCCAACAACUCCAGAUCCAGUGGUUGGGCUUUCUGGCAGUAAAAGUCAAGGAGAUCAGUUAUUUGGUAAUGUCUUGAAACAAGUCCAUCCAGAUAAUGUGAAACUUAAACCUACCAUAGCCAAGUUUAUAUCUGGUUUGGGUGCACCAGCAUCAUCAAUCCAAGUUGAGGCUAUUCAUGUGAAACGUUCCAGUUUUGUUUACGAAACAAAGUUGCAAUCUUUCAAUCUACUUUCAGAGGCCAUGACGAAAAAAUGCAAUGAUAAUCCUAUUUUGAAGAUUGGUUGGUAUGGAGCUUCCAAGGAAGAAAUUGUUGACAUAAUUACGAUUGGUUUAUUCGAUCAAGUUACCGUCAUGGAGUUCAGUUUUCUGCUUAAGAUUACCCUCUUGAUUUUCUCCAAACUGCUAUUCAAAACAAAGAUGGACUAAGACAUAUAUUGAUUUGCCAAGUGAUAGUAGGAAAAAUUGAAGUUGUCACUCCUGGUUCAGGACAGUUUCAACCUAGUUCUGAGGUUCUUAAUUCUGGGGUUGACAAUUUAUUUUCUCCAAGAAAGUAUACUGUUUGGAGUUGUCACUUGAAUACUCAUAUCCUCCCUUUAGGCAUAAUCAGUUUCAGAGUUUCUCCUCAUUCAAGUUAGUGAAGCAGCAGGAAACAAUAUGUUGAUUGAACUCAUGAAGUCCCUUUGUUCUGCUCAGCAGCGUAUUUAUCUCAGCGAAGACUGCCAGAGCAAUGACGACACUAGGAUUCUGUGUUACCGUGGAUUGCUGACUUUACAUAUAUCUGUGUAGCAAAUACUUCUUUUACACCCCACCCCCCCUCCAUUGGUAGUAGUCACUAGUAUAACAGUUUUUAGUUGUUUGUAGGAGUAACAACUGUUGUUGACAGUCCUUGUACCUAAGGUGGUGAUGUUAACCUGUAAUGCCAUUCUAACAUGGUUGUCUUUAACCUUUCUAGCAGUGAUGAAUACUAUCCUUUCACAAAUGUAUAUUCUUGAAUUGCUAUUCUAACAAAAGUAUGCCUACAAUAAGGACGUAUUGGAACAAGCAAUAAAGGUUGUGAUGGAGUGGUAAAUAUUCAUUUA